CUUUGUAUCAGGCCUGACUACCAUAGAGAUUGUAACGAACUAACAUACGACGAGCAUUAAUACUGUUUUAAUAUUUUUCUCACUUUAGUUGUACGCUGACAUAUAUCUGAGAACGACAAUACCACGAGACAAACUCGACGAUAUAAACGAGAGACGAACUCAACGAUAUAAACUAUUUAAACAUUCACAGAAAUAUAAAAGACAUACAACUAAACGGGCAAGCAUAACAUAAUCACAGAUUUGUUUGGUGUGGUAGCAGGACGUUUAUAUAACGUAGAUAUAUAGCUCAGUGGAUGUAAAAUUGUGGUUCACAGCCCUACGUUUCAGGCUCGAACAUAAGGGUUUAGAUGGGGGGGAGGUAGGAUUGUGGUGGUCAUUAAAGAGAAGUAUAUAGAUCUGUGCUCGAUGAUGCAAGCAAAUUGUGUUAGUAUCAUUACGUCAUAACCAAAAUGGCGUCAAUGAGCCCCAUAUAUACAGUACCACAGAAUAAAGACAUACAGAAGUGUAUCUUCUUAUUAAAAGUGCGUAAGGGAUUUUUUCAGUCCGCCAUGUUCCUAACAAGUGCCCUGAAGAGAGGCAGUCACCCCCUGAAAACAUAUUGAAAAUUUAAUAUUCCAGGGGGGUGAAUGCCUCUCUUUAGGGCACUUGCUAAGAACAUGGCCGCCAGCUAUUUCGGUAAAAAAGCGC